rnacentral:rRNA from 1 species
AUUGAACGCUGGCGGCAGGCCUAACACAUGCAAGUCGAGCGGGGUUUUCGGACCUAGCGGCGGACGGGUGAGUAAUGCGUAGGAAGCUACCCGAUAGAGGGGGAUACCAGUUGGAAACGACUGUUAAUACCGCAUAAUGUCUACGGACCAAAGUGUGGGACCUUCGGGCCACAUGCUAUCGGAUGCGCCUACGUGGGAUUAGCUAGUUGGUGGGGUAAUGGCUCACCAAGGCGACGAUCCCUAGCUGGUUUGAGAGGAUGAUCAGCCACACUGGAACUGAGACACGGUCCAGACUCCUACGGGAGGCAGCAGUGGGGGAUAUUGGACAAUGGGCGCAAGCCUGAUCCAGCCAUGCCGCGUGUGUGAAGAAGGCCUUCGGGUUGUAAAGCACUUUCAGUAGGGAGGAAGGGUGUUGUGUUAAUAGCACAGCAUUUUGACGUUACCUACAGAAGAAGCACCGGCUAACUCUGUGCCAGCAGCAGCCGCGUAAC